UUGGCUGCUUUGGAAAGUGAAGAUUUCUAUUUAUACGUAGAAUGGGUACAGCAUGGGCAAUGGCAGAGGAAGCUUUUCCCAUGCCAUCCUGCCAAUAUGCCUUAACUCUGACCUGGAUGUACUGCCUCUAGUGGCAAAAAGGCAUUUUAGUUUCCAUGUCUAUUUAGUUUUUUGGCUCU
rnacentral:sRNA from 1 species